CAUUCCGAAAUAAAAAUUCCAACUCCUUAAGUAGACAGGACAAAAACGGAAACAUUUCUGAACGGCGCUGGCCAAUGAUGGCGUCGCAAAUAUGGCUGACCAACACAAAAAAAAAAUGGCAACUAAAAGUAAACAACGCAUUGUGAAACCGAGAUGCGUAUGUAUUUGUAUGAAAAAAAAGCUGAUGAUAUAUAUAUAGAUAAAAUGUAUACUGGAUUAAUGGUCGACUGAGCUUUUGGGGGGUUAAUUAAGAUGUUCCGUAUGAUCGAUGAUGCGAGCUUUGAACUUUUUCGAAACGACGCGACGCCUGUAGUUUUUAAUUAAUUUCAAUCUUGCGAAUACCUAUAACGAAAUUCUAAAUUGAUAAUGCAUUUAAUAAGUAGUUGGAAACAAUUUUAUUUGAAAAAGUAUCUCACUUAAAUGUCUCUUGAAUCUUUCAGAUAAGAAUUCCUUUAAUACUUUCACAAGAUUUUUUUUUACAAAGUAAAUCUUAUCAUACUAAAUUAAUGCUGAGCCUACUACAAUAGCAUAAGUAUAUAGAAUAACUAUAACUAUAUAUAUAAAUAAAAAAUCCUACAAAUAAUAAACACAA